GCCGCGGUAUCCCUGACCGUGCGAAGGUAGCGUAAUCACUUGUUCUUUAAAUGAGGACUAGUAUGAAUGGCACCACGAAGGUUAUACUGUCUCCUUUAUCCAAUCAGUGAAACUAAUCUCCCCGUGAAGAAGCGGGGAUGUUUAUAUAAGACGAGAAGACCCUAUGGAGCUUUAAACACAAUAACAUUUGCACCAGCGAGCUUAAAAUCACACCCGCCCUGCAUUAUGAUUAUUAGUUUUAGGUUGGGGUGACCACGGAGUAAAAUUUAACCUCCACAUUGAACUGAAAACUUUUUAACAAAGAAAAACACUUCUAUGUAUCAAUAAAUUGACAUUCAUUGACCCAAUAAUUUGAUCAACGAACCAAGUUACCCUAGGGAUAACAGCGCAAUCCUCUUUGAGAGUCCAUAUCGACAAGAGGGUUUACGACCUCGAUGUUGGAUCAAGGUAUCCAAGUGGUGCAGCAGCUACUAAAGGUUCGUUUGUUCAACGAUUAAAA
rnacentral:rRNA from 1 species